ensembl:miRNA gmo-mir-33b-1 gmo-mir-33b-1
GUGCAUUGUAGUUGCAUUGCAUGUGUUUCUGCCGGGUGCAAUGUGUCUGCAGCGCAACA